CUAAAAUUCAUGUUUGAUGACUUCUUUAUAGUUGGAGACCUAAUUUACCUGUUGGGCCAAGGACUAAAUAAUAUGACACCACCCAAACUAGCAGUCAGCCCAACAGGCGGUGAGAUGUUACUGUUGGGAAUACUUGAUUUGGUUUUUAAAAGAUACUAGCAAAGCCACACAGUAAAGAAAAU